UCUCUCUCUCUCUCUCUCUCUCUCUCUCUCUCUCUCUCUUCUUUGUAGUAACACAACCGCUGCCCUACCGAAAGCCUUCUUCAAAAAAACCAUAAACCACCUCAAUCCAAUGGGUUAGGCUAUAAAGCAUCUCAAAUGGAGAGAUAAUGAGGGCUACAGAUCCGGCCCACGAUCCCUAGCCGUCUUUGCUUGCAGAGGUGUAGUUAAAAAGUUCCGUUAUCUAUUCUUCGACUUCAUAUUCUUUGUAGCAAUUAACUUCUUACCAAUUGCCUCAUCUCCUUUUCCCAGCAAGAAUCUAUAAGGUUUUGAUUUGGUUUUGGCUAGACUGCUGGAGUGGUUGAUGGUGGUUGCCAAAGUGGGCUAACAGUAGUAGUAGUAGUUGGAGGUAAAGGGGUCCGACAUUGACAUUGGUCAUCAAUAGUCACGGAGGCUUUCAACACUUGGGGCAUUUAAUUUAACAAAUAUAUAGGAAAUAAAUUAAUUAAAAAUACAUUAGUAAUUAAGAAAAAAAUAAUAUUUUUAGGUAUGUCAGGAUAAAAACAAAACUGAAAAAAAAUAAAAAAAAAAAUAAUAAUAAUUAUAAGGACCUUCCUUGUUAAAAAGAUAGAUAAUAACAAAACAGACAAACUUAUACAACUAUAGGGACUAUUCGGAUAAUUUCUCUUAAAACAAUAGAAUAAAAGGCAACCCAAAGUUGGCAGGUGAAGCGCCGAAUAUACUAUUGUCAAACAAAACAAUGGCGGCCAUGUCACCCGGGGCAAACCAGGGUUGGACAACGGCGAAGAAGACGCCGCCCCUCUAUAGCCACCGGAGACCGGCGAUUGUUCUUGGAUAAUCCGAUUCUUCGACAUGGCGGAAAAUGGAGGCGGAUGUUCUUGGUUUGUUGAUAUGCAGAGGGUGACAGGUUGUCGGUGGACGGUUGGUUUCAAAUCCAACCUCCUUUUGGUAUAAGCCAAUAAGGCGCCAUCCCAUCAGGAAUUUGGCUCUCUGGAACUGCAAUCGAAGAUGCCACAUUGACACACUCAAAAAGUUCUCCAGAUCUAUGCUGACGUGGUUCAUGGAAUGAACAGAUGAUAAGAAAUUCAAAUCUUUCGCAUGCCUACAAUAACUGUAUAAGGCCUAGGGGUGUCAAUUUAUGACACGACACGACAAAAAUACACGACACGAAACGAAAUCGGGACGAAAUCAAAAUUCGAAUUCGUUUUCGUGUCGUGUUCGUGUCAAGUUUAUAAAACACGAUGUCGUGUCGUGUCGUGUUCGUGUUUACAAAUCCACACGAAAUUGACACGAUUGAGCAUGUAUUUGUCGUAUUUUCGUGUUUGUCGUUUUUAUCGUGUUAUAUAUGAUUAAAUAUGAAUUAAAAAAAAUAAUAGUUAUGUAAUAUUAUCUUUGUUGUGUCG